rnacentral:rRNA from 1 species
GGUUAAGUGACUAAGCGUACACGGUGGAUGCCUUGGCAGUCAGAGGCGAUGAAAGACGUAGUAACUUGCGAUAAGCCCAGAUUAGGUAGUAACAACCAUUUGAGUCUGGGAUUUCUGAAUGGGGAAACCCACUUACAUAAGUAAGUAUCAUUAACUGAAUACAUAGGUUAAUGAGGCGAACCGGGGGAACUGAAACAUCUAAGUACCCCGAGGAAAAGAAAUCAACCGAGAUUCCGAAAGUAGCGGCGAGCGAAAUUGGACUAGCCCUUAAGCUUUACACGCGUUAGACGAACGGUCUGGAAAGUCCGACGAUACAGGGUGAUAGUCCCGUAGUUGACGACGUGUGUUCAGUGAAAUCGAGUAGGGCGGGACACGUGAUAUCCUGUCUGAAUAUGGGGGGACCAUCCUCCAAGGCUAAAUACUACUGACUGACCGAUAGUGAACCAGUACCGUGAGGGAAAGGCGAAAAGAACCCCUGUGAGGGGAGUGAAAUAGAACCUGAAACCGUGUACGU